CCUACGGGUGGCUGCAGUGGGGAAUAUUGCACAAUGGGGGAAACCCUGAUGCAGCGACGCCGCGUGAGUGAAGAAGUAUUUCGGUAUGUAAAGCUCUAUCAGCAGGGAAGAACAUGACGGUACCUGACUAAGAAGCCCCGGCUAACUACGUGCCAGCAGCCGCGGUAAUACGUAGGGGGCAAGCGUUAUCCGGAUUUACUGGGUGUAAAGGGAGCGUAGACGGCAGCACAAGUCUGGAGUGAAAUGCCGGGGCUUAACCCCGGAACUGCAUUGGAAACUGUGCGGCUAGAGUGUAGGAGAGGUAAGUGGAAUUCCUAGUGUAGCGGUGAAAUGCGUAGAUAUUAGGAGGAACACCAGUGGCGAAGGCGGUCUGCUGGACAGCAACUGACGCUGAGGCGCGAAAGCGUGGGGAGCAAACAGGAUUAGAUACCCCGGUAGUC
rnacentral:rRNA from 1 species